UUCAAAGCUAUGGAUUCAUGUCGCUCAGAUACAAUUCUUCAACCAAAGAAAGCCAAAACAAGCAAAUAAAAGGAUAAAAUAUAAAUAUGAAAGAGCAAACACUCUUUAAAGAGAAACUGAAAGUUUAGACCUCAAGAAAGAGGAACCAGGGAGACCUUCAGCAAGAUUCUAGCCACUUUAGCCUCCCGAAGCAAUGACUUCUGUCAUCUCAUUUUAGCAAGAAUGAUGUGCCCUGCUUGAGAGUCUCUUCUUGGGUCACAAUCCAGAAUAUGCCUCCAGGCAGAAAGCCAGGGAAAUCAUCUUGCCCAUCUUGUUCAUUUCCUUUUGUCAUGGAUAACAGCCCUCGGCUACCAGUUUCUAAGGUAUACUCUUCAUUGAAUUUUUAUGACCCUCUCUUCUUCCAGGAGAUCACAAAUUCCUCAAGAAAACACACAUUUAACAAUAUGUCUUCCCAGAAUAUCUGGCAGCAAUCCUUGCACAUAAUAAAUAUCCAAACCCGCUUUCAAUACUUUUGAGUAUCUAUAUGCAGAAAUGGAAUCACUGGAUCAUAUGAUUAAUUCAAUGCUAAAAAUAUCAAAGCAACUAAGUUUACUGGCACAUGUAAGUGGUGAAUGAAUAAAACAAUUUGGACCAAGAUCCCCAGCAUUGCUCCACUUCGCAUCCACUCUUCAACUCUUCAGUACCUGUUCACUGUUCAAAAGCUACCUGGAAUGUAAUUUCCAAGAGAGCAGGACAGUCAUCGCUGUUGGCCAACAGCUGUAUCCCAACAACUGGCUCGGGAGAAAAGCCUGGGAAUUGAAUGUUCCUUUGCCAUCUUCUCCCCCUGAGUGUGAAGUCUGUACAAAAGUUUCUACAGAUUUUAUCAUUCUCCACUUCGCAUUAGAGAGGCACUAAAAAUGGAGAUUUGUCUUAAAAAUGUGAAUGUCUCUUAGAAGAGGUGGAAAUAGAGAUCCAACCAAAUGUCCCCCUUCACCACUUCAAGGAGUAACUGCUGGGAAGAAGCAAUUACAGCCAAAUUGCUUACACCUUAAACCCCAGGUGCUCUAGACGGAUGGACAACCCUUACCAUAGCAAACAGGAUCAGAUACCUGUGGUUUCUCUGUGCUACCUCAGGGGGACUUCAAAACCAGCCACCUCAGAUCUCGGCACUUCAAAGAGACUCCCCUGAAGCUGUGUUUACAACAUAAGCUAAAAAACAAGUUGUACCUGCAGAAGAGGCAGGGAGACAGUUCUCCUUGUCGUCUAGGAAGUCUACAAAGGCCUAGCACUGAAUUUAAAGACACUGGAGUCCCAUGCCAAUUGACUGAGCCUAUUAAGAAAACAGUUUUAUGCCAGGAAUUGGAUCAUUGCCUGCUUGCAAGAGUGAAGAGGAAAAUAAUUACCCUUCUCUAUAAUAAGGUCAUGGCUUUAUUAUCAUGAAUAAUGAAAGACCUUAGAAGAAUGAUGAACUUGAUAGUUAUCUAUCAAGAAGAGCAGAUUAACAUUAAUUAUGAUGACACAGUUCACAAAAUAGAGAGCUGCACCAGCACUAUAUAUCCCCCUGUGGGGUUAACUCCAUAACCUCACCAGUUCCUCUACUCUCCUCAAGUGAAAAAGAUUCUCUUUGUCCAUAUUACUUCUAUACCACGCAGCUAAUCUUGGAUGACAUAGAGUGACAUUUUACCAAUCUCAAUAACACCUGACUUGUCUGGUUGUUUCUGAUCCUUUUCCGUGGGUCCCCACUGGAAGGUGCAUUAGACUCAUGGCAGGCUUUGGGGCCUUGCUCUGGGCCAGCCCCACUUAGAUGGACUUUUUCCCAUGAGGGGACAGGAAACAGCAAGCAUGUUGGCCCUUUGAGCCAUCGGCUCUGGAGGACGCAGAGUGGGAGAUGGGAAAGAGAGCCAAUGAAGGGGAAUCGUACUCCGUUGAUGACUUUCGGGGGUCUCUGACUUGGUUGUUCCUGCCCAGACCCCACGACACCUUCCCAGCCUAACUUCCAAAAGGCUGAGUGAGGCCAGGACUUGGUGCAGAUGUCAGAUCAGUGUUUUUCUGCUGAUUAUUGCUGACAAGACACUUGUUGGAUUGUACAUUAAGUUUGAACUUUCAAAAUCUCUCAUUCCUCAAUGAAGCUAUACUAGAAGACACUUGUUGACCUGAAAGCAUUGUUAGUUGUAGCAAGAAGAGAUUCCUGAAAAGCUGUGUGGGUGAUAACUGCCUUGGGGAGUCUCACGAGCAGCUUCAGAAUUCACACAUACACACAAAACUGGAGCACCACCAGACAUAUAUAGAGAAGAGAAUUGGAAUUCAGAAGAAGCUGGCAACUGGAGCAGAGAUGUCUGCGUAAACAUUAGCAAAAAAGGACAGCUAUGGAAUUCUUGGUCAGGUGUCACCAUGCCUAUUCCUGUCUCACAAACAGCUCACUUCUUCAUCAGGGCUAACAUUCAUUUUCAGAUGGCAAGUGCAGACAUGGGUCAUUUCAGCACAGUGGUGAGGAGUAAACAAGAAUGCAGAAGAAAAACCACUGAGGAGAAUUCUUUUAAGAAGUAUGAAUGAGAAGAGGGACCAGGAUGAUGUGACCUCUGAAAAUCUAUGCUCUCUUAAUCUUGCCCGUGUACAACUGCUUUAAGGAAAAUGGAUGUCAGCUUUCUACUGCCUUACUUCAGAUAAAAGUAAUAAAUA